rnacentral:rRNA from 1 species
CCCUUAGCGUUUGAUCCUGGCUCAGGAUGAACGCUAGCGGCAGGCCUAACACAUGCAAGUCGAGGGGCAGCAUUCACUUCGGUGAGAUGGCGACCGGCGCACGGGUGCGUAACGCGUAUACAAUCUACCUUAUACUAAGGGAUAGCCCAGAGAAUUUGGAUUAACACCUUAUAGUUUUAUGGAUAGGCAUCUAUUAAUAAAUAAAGGUUACGGUAUAAGAUGAGUAUGCGUCCUAUUAGUUAGAUGGUAAGGUAACGGCUUACCAUGACGAUGAUAGGUAGGGGUCCUGAGAGGGAGGUCCCCCACACUGGUACUGAGACACGGACCAGACUCCUACGGGAGGCAGCAGUGAGGAAUAUUGGACAAUGGGAGAGAUCCUGAUCCAGCCAUGCCGCGUGCAGGAAGACUGCCCUAUGGGUUGUAAACUGCUUUUAUACAGGGAGAAAAAGGUGUACGUGUACACUAUUGACGGUACUGUAUGAAUAAGGAUCGGCUAACUCCGUGCCAGCAGCCGCGGUAAUACGGAGGAUCCGAGCGUUAUCCGGAAUCAUUGGGUUUAAAGGGUCCGUAGGCGGGAUAAUCAGUCAGUGGUGAAAGUUUGUGGCUCAACCAUAAAAUUGCCAUUGAUACUGUUAUUCUUGAGUUAUUGUGAAGUGGUUAGAAUGAGUAGUGUAGCGGUGAAAUGCAUAGAUAUUACUCAGAAUACCGAUUGCGAAGGCAGAUCACUAACAAUAUACUGACGCUGAUGGACGAAAGCGUAGGUAGCGAACAGGAUUAGAUACCCUGGUAGUCUACGCCGUAAACGAUGGUUACUAGCUGUUCGAAACGAUUGAGUUUUGAGUGGCUAAGCGAAAGUGAUAAGUAACCCACCUGGGGAGUACGUUCGCAAGAAUGAAACUCAAAGGAAUUGACGGGGGCCCGCACAAGCGGUGGAGCAUGUGGUUUAAUUCGAUGAUACGCGAGGAACCUUACCAGGGCUUAAAUGCAGUUCGACAGAUUGGGAAACCGACUUUUCUUCGGACGGAUUGCAAGGUGCUGCAUGGUUGUCGUCAGCUCGUGCCGUGAGGUGUCAGGUUAAGUCCUAUAACGAGCGCAACCCCUGUGGUUAGUUGCCAGCACAUAAUGGUGGGAACUCUAGCCAGACUGCCGGUGCAAACCGUGAGGAAGGUGGGGAUGACGUCAAAUCAUCACGGCCCUUACGUCCUGGGCUACACACGUGCUACAAUGGUGCAUACAAUGAGCAGCCACUACGCGAGUAGGCGCUAAUCUAUAAAGUGCAUCACAGUUCGGAUUGGAGUCUGCAACUCGACUCUAUGAAGCUGGAAUCGCUAGUAAUCGCAUAUCAGCCAUGAUGCGGUGAAUACGUUCCCGGGCCCUGUACACACCGCCCGUCAAGCCAUGGAAGCUGGGGGUGCCCGAAGUUCGUAGCCGCAAGGAGCGACCUAGGGUAAAACUAGUAACUGGGGCUAAGUCGUAACAAGGUAACCAAGGGC